GCAAUCUAUUCACUUACUAUUAAACCAUAUUAUUAAGGAAUUAGUAAACUAAACGAUUGCUAUAAUAAUUAUGACAAUUUUGUUUAAUUAUUAAAAUUAUUAUUAUUUUUUUUGAUUAAUUUUAAUAUAAAAUGAAAUUGUAUACAACUAUUAAAUUUAA
rnacentral:sRNA from 1 species